UUUGUUCAGAUGUUGCGGAAAUAUUGUGAGUAUAGAAAUAAGACAAAUAUGACAUAUAGUACACUAAAUGACGCCUUGAAUUUCAUAAAAGUCUGUUGGCCAACUAAUCAACAACGUAAUUCUAAAAUCAACCAAGAAUUCUACCCUGCACUCAAAUCUUCAGUUGACCAAAUGAUAUAUAUCAAGAUGAGAAUAAUGUAACAUGAUGCAAAAAAAGAAGAUGGAACCAAUAUGCUACAGGAAGUUACUGAAACAACAAAGCAAACAUGAAUUAUAUCACCUAGAGUGGUCAUCAACAGUGGCAACAGCUUUUCCUUCAGCGCACUUGGUAAUAUAGCAGGCAAUCUAGACACUCCAUGAUUAGUUUCCAAAUCCAUAAUUUCAAUGAGAGAAAACAAGAAUGGAAGCUACAGUACCUAUGGGCAGGCUGACGGGUACUGCAAAUUGUGUCAAAAAAUUGUACUCUCUCCUUGUAUUAAUUAGUAUGUUAUUUCUGUAAGCAAAUUAGGCAGCGGCAGUGCCUCAAUAAGAAUAAUUAUUCCAUUCAAAAAUAAUAAGAAGAAUCAUUAUACAAGACACAAUGGCAUACAUGGCAGCUUGAAAAUCACGGCUCACAAGAUUGAGAGAUAAGACAAAUAUGACAUAUAGUACACUAAAUGACGCCUUGAAUUUCAUCAAAGUCUGUUGGCCAACUAAUCAACAACGAAAUUCUAAAAUCAACCAAGAAUUCUACCCUGCACUCAAAUCUUUAGUUGACCAAAUGAUAUAUAUCAAGAUGAGAAUAAUGUACCAUGAUGCAAAAAAAAGAUGGAACCAAUAUGCUACAGGAAGCUGCUGAAACAACAAAGCAAACAUGAAUUAUAUCACCUGGAGUGGUCAUCAAUAGUGGCAGCAGCUUUUCCUUCAACGCACUGGUAAUAUAGCAGGCAAUCUAGACACUCCAUGAUUAGUUUCCGAAUCCAUAAUUUCAAUGAGAGAAAACAAGAAUGGAAGCUACAGUACCUAUGGGCAGGCUCACGGGUACUGCAGAUUGUGUCAAAAAAUCAUACUCUCUCCCUGUAUUAAUUAGCAUGUUAUUUCUAUAAGCAAAUUAGGCAGCGGCAGUGCCUCAAUAAGAAUAAUUAUGCUAUUCAAAAAUAAUAAGAAGAAUCAUUAUACAGGACACAAUGGCAUACGUGGCAGCAUGAAAAUCACGGCUCACAAGAUUGAGAGAUAUACAUACCAAGAAAAAGACAAAGAAAAGCUGAAGAACCACACCUGCAUUUCCCAAGCACGACACAGAUAGACGAACGCCCUUGAGGUCGGGGCAGAGCAAGAAUCCUACCAGGCCAGAGGCAUGAUCCAAAUCAGGGACGCAUGCGUGCAUACUGACAUCUCCACAAGCUUGUCCGUGCAACCGCA
rnacentral:lncRNA from 1 species